AGCGGGGUAGAGGAAUUGGUCAACUCAUCAGGCUCAUGACCUGAAGACUGCAGGUUCGAAUCCUGUCCCGCCUA
rnacentral:tRNA from 1 species